rnacentral:rRNA from 1 species
GUAUGAGCAAGAGAAGGGCAUCUGGUGGAUGCCUUGGCACCAAGAGGCGAUGAAGGACGUGGCACGCUGCGAGAAGCCACGGGGAGCCGCGAGCAGGCGUUGAUCCGUGGAUGUCCGAAUGGGGCAACCCCCUCCGUGAGGAGGAUCCUGAGCUGAAUCCAUAGGUUCAGGAGGCGAACCCGGGGAACUGAAACAUCUCAGUACCUGGAGGAAAAGACAUCAACCGAGAUUCCGCUAGUAGUGGCGAGCGAACGCGGAGCAGGCCAGUGG